CCUACGGGAGGCAGCAGUGAGGAAUAUUGGUCAAUGGACGAGAGUCUGAACCAGCCAAGUAGCGUGAAGGAUGACUGCCCUAUGGGUUGUAAACUUCUUUUAUAUGGGAAUAAAAUGUUCCACGUGUGGGAUUUUGUAUGUACCAUAUGAAUAAGGAUCGGCUCACUCCGUGCCAGCAGCCGCGGUAAUACGGAGGAUCCGAGCGUUAUCCGGAUUUAUUGGGUUUAAAGGGAGCGUAGGUGGAUUGUUAAGUCAGUUGUGAAAGUUUGCGGCUCAACCGUAAAAUUGCAGUUGAAACUGGCAGUCUUGAGUACAGUAGAGGUGGGCGGAAUUCGUGGUGUAGCGGUGAAAUGCUUAGAUAUCACGAAGAACUCCGAUUGCGAAGGCAGUUCACUGGACUGCAACUGACACUGAGGCUCGAAAGUGUGGGUAUCAAACAGGAUUAGAUACCCCAGUAGUC
rnacentral:rRNA from 1 species